rnacentral:lncRNA from 1 species
UCCCCCCCCCCCCAGUCAAGGAUGAACACUUGUGCUUGCAAGGCUCUUCUACUGAUCUAGGCUUUUAAUUCCUAAACAACAGCUCCUACAUACGGAGAGAACACACCAUUCUAUACUUGGCACACAUAAGACAGAAUUAAAAGGGAAACCCAUUUACUUUAGUAACAAAACACUGUAAGACACUUCCCUCCCGCACACUUCUUUGCACUCCCUUGGCAUCUUAUCCACAAAUAGCCAGAAACCAUUUUGAAAGCUAAGUCCUUUUUUGUUUGUUUUUUCUGAGACAGGGUUUCUCUGUAUAGCCCUGGCUGUCCUGGAACUCACUCUGUAGACCAGGGUGGCCUCGAACUCAGAAAUCAGAAAGCUAAGUCCUGAAAGGUUGUGGACAGAUGGACUCGUGCUUCCCUGCUUCACACUGGUCACGUGUGCCUUCUCCAGGCUCAUGUCACACAGUGGUCACUCAGAGACAGCUCGGUGACCAAAUUCCUCACAAGGCCAUGCCAAGGUGCAGUGCCAGCAAUGGAGCGCGUUCUAAUGGAGCAACACCGCUGCUCCCCCAGCUUCUUCUCUAGUCGCCUUCUGACAACAGGAAGCCUGCUCCAGGAAGGCUUAACGUUAGCACCGGUGGGGGUGGAAUGAAAAUGGCCCCCAUAAGGGGUGGGCACUACUGGGAGGUGUGGCCUUGUUGGAGGAAGUGUGUCACUAGGAGAUGGGCUGUGGGGUUUCAGAAGCUCAAGCCCAAGCCAGGCCCAGUGGCUCUCUUUUCUUGAUGCCUGCCAAUCCCGAUGUAGAGCUCUCAGCUACCUGUCCAACACCAUGCCUGCCUGCAUGCUGCCAUGCUUUCCACCAUUAUAAUGGACUAAACCUCUGAAACUGUAAGACAGCCCCAAUUAAAUGUCCUUUACAAGAGGUCAUGAUGUCUCUUCGCAGCAAUAAAACCCUAAGACAGACACCAAAGAGUCGGGGGUGGGGGGGGGGGCACAGGUGUCAUGUUGGGCCAUGAAGAUGUCAGAAAAGAGUGCAAGCAACUGAGAUGGAGAAGGAAGCUCAGGCUUAAGGAACCUGCUCCUUGUGGCUGAGAUAAUUGGACCUAUUUCUAUUCCUAUUUAAACAUUUUUGUCACCUAUAGUUAGGAUAAAUUAUUGUUCUGGAACCUGCUACAUGUAAGAAGUUUGUUUUUGAAAAACAUAUAUAGUGGGGGCUGGAGUCAUAUCUCAGCUGUUAAAGAGCACUGGCUGCCCUUCCAGAGAACUCAGAUUCAACUCCUAGCACCCACACCAGUUCCAAGAGAUCCACCCUCUUCUUUUGACCUCUGUAAGCACUGUGCAUAUGUGCUGCACAGACAUACAUGCAAGCAAACCACCCAUACACAUAGACACCACCAACAAUUCUGAAAUAAAAAUACAAUGGUGGGAAAAAGGUAAAUCACCAAUAAGCAAUAAAACAAAUUUGUGCUUUAAAGAAGAUGUUAUAGGUUCACAUCUCUAGAGAUGGAAGGAGCUAUUUACAGUAAGAAAUUUAAAGAUGGGGCAUUGGAUCUCUGAAUUCAAGGACAACCUAGUAUACAGAGCUAGUUCCAGCAGAGCCAGGGCUUCAUAGAGAAACCCUGUCUCAAAGAAGAAAGAAGCAGGGUAUGGUGUGGCUGAAUUUUAAACAUGAAUGACUUGGUGAGAAUUUCAGAACUGUCUCUUGAAUUAGCUCUGGGAAAGGAACAGCUGAAAUGACCAGAGUACAAUAUCACAACAGCAACAAAGUGCAAUGUGAGGAGUCUCUGCUGGCCUGAGCGUGACAGAAGCUGCUGCUCUGAAGGCACGAGGGCCUGCCCAAUAGAGCAAUCCAAAUCUGAAGUAACUGUGCUUUUCAUACAGGAGAUGGUGCCCCAGACAAACAGUAAGUCAUGUGCGCUAUUGGCAACAUGUCUUCAGUGACUCAUCGGCCAUCUGAAGCUGGAAGAGGGCGUUUCUGAAUAUCACCCAUCUCCCCUGGCUUCAGUUCUGUUCCCCCAGCCAUCUCACUGGCCAUAAAUUAUUUCACAAGGGAAUUUUCCUCUGAGGCACAGGCAGCUCGUGGAAACAUCUAUCCACUUGACUGUCUGUACAGUGUGUUCUCACACGGAAUCCAGCAUUGAGAAGCUGUUUUCAGGAUCUACCCCAGAUAAGCACACCAUUUCGUCUUGAUGGACAGACCUAAGCAGACAGAAGAAAAGCCCCUCAACAUCGUCCUUUUGACACACUCACUCCUUGGGUACAAGUUCUCCGCCCUGAACACACAUGAGACCCGUUCCUACACACACUUGCUGACACACUCACUCCUUGGGUACAAGUUCUCCGCCCUGAAUACACAGGAGACCUGUUCCUACACACACUCUCUGACACACUCACUCCUUGGGUUCACUGCCCUGGACACACAGGAAACCCAUUCCUGCAUAGACUCUUUGAGGAUGAAAGACAGCCACGGGACGCAAGCUACUUCCCAGUGGAUUGCUGCCAGAUGCCUGUGGCAAAGCUUCCUUCGGACUCUUGGCAAGCGCUGCUCUGUGUCUUGAAAUAACGAGAGCAGAGCUGUGAGGCUGAGCAUUUGCGUAACUGGUGAAGUCUGCCAGUGAAUAAUUCCUAAUCACCCGCUAUCGAGAAGAUACACGCAGCAGCAAACAGUGAGGUUAAGUGUAUUUACUCUGCAGGCAACACAAACUCGGGCAUCACAAAGGCAUGGAGACGUGCCUGGCAGCCAAGAGAUCAGCCACCAGGAACCUGGCAGGGUGCCAUUGUUUUCCUUUGGCCUCUAAGAUAGGUACUUGGGGGAGGGAGGAGUUGUUUUUAACUAGAUUUGGGUCUGGAACUAAAAUGAAGUUUACUCAACUCUAUGACCUCAACAGAAUACUAAAGCUU